rnacentral:lncRNA from 1 species
GCGAGUUCCUGGUUUCUGAGGUGGGAGAGCCAUCACUGGAGAGGUGGCAUUGGCGCCAGUACUCAGGCCAGAAGCCCCUUGUGCCCUGCUCUCAGAACACAGGCCCCAGACCAGGAAGGCAUUCUGCUAAAGAAGGGGACCCGAAACCUCAGCUACCAGCGCCGAUGGUUCAUCCUCCGAGGAAACCUCCUCUUCUACCUAGAACACUAGACCGACCAUGCACCCCUGAGCCUCAUCCUGUUAGAGAACUGCCAGGUGGAACCACACCUUAAGGCUGCAGAACCCUAUGCCUUUACCAUCCUGACCCCUGGGGUGGAGGGCACAGGUGGGCGGGCCUACAAGCUGGCUGCAGAAACCCAGGAAGAGCUGGAGACUUGGCUGUGGGCACUGGCUGGCGCGAGCUGGAGGCGGCUGGCUGGGCUGCUGUCCCCCCUCCCCCCCCACCAAAACCCAAUACUGGGAGCUGUGCCAGGCAACUGGCCAAGAACCCAUCUCAUCCCCAGAGGACAGUGGCUUUCUAGCCACUGUGAGUACCCCCUCCAGCUUCCAGGAGUUGCAUGAGCACUUUGGGAAGGAGAUCCGGGUGCUGCACGUGGUACAUAGAGAGCUCCAGGCAGCCAGUGACAAUGGAGACAGCAGAUCCCAGGCAAAGAUGGAGCAGGAGCUCAACCAGUGUCUGAUGAGUGACUGAGAGAUGGACCCAAAGCUAAGAGGUACCUACUUGCCAAGACAGCAGACUGCUUCAACAGAGACCCAGGUCCUGGCUCUGUCCCUCCCUCCCUCGUCCUUACCCCAUCCCCCCCUCAUCAAAUAACAAGGCAGAAAACAGG